GUGCUUGCUUCGGCAGCUUGGGUACUGAAAUUGGAACGAUACAGAGAAGAUUAGCAUGGCCCUUGUGCAAAGAUGACAUGCAAAUUCAUGGAGCAUUCCAUAUUUUU